GACGAACGCUGGCGGCGUGCCUAAUACAUGCAAGUAGAACGCUGAAGGAGGAGCUUGCUUCUCUGGAUGAGUUGCGAACGGGUGAGUAACGCGUAGGUAACCUGCCUGGUAGCGGGGGAUAACUAUUGGAAACGAUAGCUAAUACCGCAUAAGAGUAGAUGUUGCAUGACAUUUGCUUAAAAGGUGCAAUUGCAUCACUACCAGAUGGACCUGCGUUGUAUUAGCUAGUUGGUGGGGUAACGGCUCACCAAGGCGACGAUACAUAGCCGACCUGAGAGGGUGAUCGGCCACACUGGGACUGAGACACGGCCCAGACUCCUACGGGAGGCAGCAGUAGGGAAUCUUCGGCAAUGGACGGAAGGCUGACCGAGCAACGCCGCGUGAGUGAAGAAGGUUUUCGGAUCGUAAAGCUCUGUUGUAAGAGAAGAACGAGUGUGAGAGUGGAAAGUUCACACUGUGACGGUAUCUUACCAGAAAGGGACGGCUAACUACGUG
rnacentral:rRNA from 1 species